UCAAACUCAGCUAUGCUUUAAAGCAGUUCUGUGUAGGUAUAUGAUAGGCCUAUAUUUGACAAACCGUAACUAAGUUAUUAAAUAUUCAUUGAUUUUACUUUUUCAGAGUAACAUUCAAUCUACCCACUGGCACCACAACUGCAACUUCUGUCAGCUCAAUCCAGCAGCUUUUUGCAUGUAAGUUAAGGCCUAUCUCUAUUACUACUUUUUUGUUAAAUUGGAUUUUAGUACUGUAUUUAAUAAUGUGCUGUUUUAUUUAGGUCUAUGUAUUUUAUAGAGGCCUGAGGCCUAGGUUUGUUCCUUUUUUGGGUGUUGGUUUUUUUUUGAGGUUUCUUUUUCUUUUUUGUUAAUAACUUCACGGAAUUUUACACAGAUUUUGGGUCUAUCUUUUUAACCAGUUUUGUACACACUGUAUCUGUUUCAGAUGGACAACAAACACCAUUGUUGCACAUGUUCCAGAUAGGCCAAUUUGUACUGUAGCACCAUUGACCACAUCAGAUCAAGAAUCAGCAAGAAAAAAGAUCAAAAGAUGGGAUAAAGAAAUGGACAAUGAUUUAGUAAAACAGAUGCUCAAUUCAAAUAUUUUUAGCUACAAAUAUAAUUCGAAGAGCCGAGGUUUGCGAUUAAUCCAUUCGGAGCGACAACAGACUGAAAUUUAUUACCAUGAAUUCUUUUAUGUCCAUUUUACAUAUUCUUUGCGACUGUACAGGUCUACAAAUGGGUUGAACGGUCUCAUCUAUGAACCCCCCCCCCCCAACAGUUGUUGAGUGGUGCGCCCUUAGUUUGAAUAACAUUACAAAAUUCUUGAAGCUUAUCUGGAGCAAGUCAUGGCUGUUGGAGAGUUUCCAAAAGAUGGUUACAAUUGUCAUAAAUAAUAUGUGCACGAUUUUGCACGUUGCCAAAAACAACUCUGUUAUGACCGAACCAUGUCUGUAUAUCAACAUGAUACGCAAAACGAUAAAAAAAAACAUACAAAAUGCCUCGAUUCCAUCAAAUAUGAAUCCAUUUUUGCAUCGCCCUUCAUGCGGAAUUCUUAAAACAUCAUUGAUAAAUGUCAUCCUUUUCAAAUCUUGAAUUAAAUAAUGUUAUUUUGUUAAUACAAAAGUGUAUACUGUAUAUAUACAGGUAUAUUGAUAUUGACUUGUGUGUGAGGAGCCAAAGCGCAGAGGCAUAUUUAAGAGUGGGUCUAACGAAGGUGGUGUAGCAUUGUGCCUUAAAGACCGUCUGACAAGCUGAAUUAUAUGACUUAUAAGAAAAUAUACAAAUAUAUAUUUGUAUGUAUAUGAUAUAGUACAGUAAUAAUAAUAUAUCAAUUUGAUACAUAAUUACACAUUCUAACUGGACUCUGUACAUAGGAUGUAUACAUUGUGCCUGUAUUUAACAUUUUUCAAUGAUUGUCAAUCUAAAGUCGGAGUUAUGUCCUGGUUUCGACCCUUUAACGUCACUAUUGGAUAGGCUUAUCUUCAUUAGACUUCUACGAAUAAUUACUGUAGUGUGUAGUGUCAUAAUUGCUAUGUGCUUGUUUGUAAAAUUGACAUUAUGGUCAAAUUAAUGAAUAAUUGACACACUGCCUUAAUUCAACUUUAUUAUUUAUUUAUUAUUAAAUUGUAUUUAUAAUAUUUUAUUGAUGUAUGCCUAACAUAAUUUUAACUGGUGGUCACGGCUUAAAGUUUGAUUCUAAACUUAUUUUGGCCUCUUAAUGUCUAUACACUUAUUAUGUUCUUAUUUCUUUUACUAUUAAGUUUUUUUUUUUGUUGUACAGUAUUAUGUAUGUGUAUGUGAGUGAACAAAUUAAAUGAAAUAAAAAUUAAAAAAACGCAGACUAUACAACUGCUUCUCUUUUGUUAAAUAAUGGCUCUGAAAAGAGCCUUUUGGUUUGAGAUUCUUGUUUACAUGAGACUGCUAAAUCUUGAAAGAUGUUUAGCUAUUGCUACAUCUUUCUCUGGUAUGCUAAAUGCUGAACGAACAACGAACAGGUGGUGGUGGAGAACUGAGUUGUGGAAUGGAUAGUUGUGGGUCUAUCUUCCCACUGCUACACAACUAGAUUACCUCUGCUAUAAGCUUAUAUUUUAUAACUGGUUUCUUUCGCCAUUUCUUCCUAUUUUUUUCCUGUAUGGGAGGAUGUA